UUUGUGUCAUUGUGGUGCUGCAUGGCCCACUUUCUCCUGAGAUUCAGUUCACAGACAGAUGUUCUGAUAGUUUUCUUUACAAUUUGCUGCUAGAAUUCAAAACUCAUUGUGUGAUUAAUGAUGGUGAGCCAGAUGGGCCAAACCAUGAUCCUAUCAGCAGCAUGUUUCAUUGUAGUGGUGCAUCAUUGAUGGGAUAAAUGGACUGGUGCUUAUAUAGUGAUUUUCUGUUUUCAUGUGGACUAAAGUAGUGGACUGACCAACAGACUGACAUUAACAUCAGAGCCGUGCUGCUAGUGUGGCUAAAAGAAAAGAGAAGAAGAGACAGUCAUGUUGAUAUGAACAUUAGAGAAACACAUCAUGGAGCUGAAAUAUGAUCCUGCUUCCUCAUUUGGACUCAUUCACCUCAGCUGACACGUUCAACAGCAGACAGGUUUUUGUAGCAGUCUGUCUCACUGUGAGAGGAAACGGCUACCCCAUCUUUGGCUCUGGAACUAAACUGUCUGUAACAGAUGAGCAGGUAGUGAAGCCCGUGGUGAGCGUGUACCCAGCAGCAUCCAGAGCCCACCUGGAGGGGAACAGCUCCCUGCUGUGUGUGGCCUCAGCCAUGUUUCCUCCUCUGGUCCAGUUCUCCUGGAAAAGACAGAAGAAGAACGGCGGAGAAGCGGAGGAGCUGCCCCCUGCUGAGGGAGAGCAGCUGGAGCUCAGAGAGGCGGGACGCACCAUUGCCAUCAGGAUGCUUGAUGGGAGCCAUUCUGACACAUAUAAAUACAGCUGCUGGGUGAAGCACGAGGGGGGCACAGUGGAGGCCCGAACACAACAAGAGCUUCCAGCUCCAGCAGCCUCCUGUCCUCCAGAGAGAGAGCCAGCAGACCUGCCAGCUCUGCAGCCAGCUGACUUGUCCUUCCAGUCUCAGUGCAGGGUGAAGCUGCUCUGCCUGCUGUACACAGUGCUGAUAGUGAAGAGUCUGGUGUACUGCUGUGGACUCUCUCUGCUGAUGAUGCUCACAAACAAGGGAGCGUCCACCAACUGCACACAUGCUGACUGACUGUUUCCUGCUCGCCUUUUCUCACCAUCACAUCUCAUCAAUUCAUCUCAUUCAUCACUUUGAUCACAAAUGUUAGUUAUGAUGUGUUGAGCUUAUUUUGCCUUUUUCUUCAACAGUUAGAAGAUCGUCUGAAAUAAAUACAUCUUUACAUGUAUUGUUGCUCUGAGUUAGAAUUCUUUUUGUGCUUAUUGUGACUUUUAUUGUAGUAACAAAAACCAUCAGGAAUAUUUUUAUCACAUGUUUUUGUUUGAUUUUCAAAUGUCAAACAGUGUAGUUGUGUUUGUGUGAACAAUAAAGAUUUGAAGAUGAAGAGUUUGA
ensembl:lncRNA